rnacentral:rRNA from 1 species
UACGUAGGUGGCAAGCGUUGUCCGGAUUUAUUGGGUUUAAAGGGUGCGUAGGCGGCGCGGUAAGUCGGGUGUGAAAUCUCGGAGCUUAACUCCGAAACUGCAUUCGAUACUGCCGUGCUUGAGGACUGGAGAGGAGACUGGAAUUUACGGUGUAGCGGUGAAAUGCGUAGAUAUCGUAAGGAAGACCAGUGGCGAAGGCGGGUCUCUGGACAGUUCCUGACGCUGAGGCACGAAGGUCAGGGGAGCAAACGGG